ACGGUUAUAAAUCAACCCCCGAUUUAUAAGCAUGUAAUCCCCUGAGUGAAACAACGAAUUGCUGUGUGUAGUCUUUGCCCAUCUCCCACGAUGGGCUUUUUUUUAU
rnacentral:other from 1 species